GACGAACGCUGGCGGCGUGCUUAACACAUGCAAGUCGAACGGAAAGGCCCUGCCUUUGUGGGGUGCUCGAGUGGCGAACGGGUGAGUAACACGUGAGUAACCUGCCCUUGACUUUGGGAUAACUUCAGGAAACUGGGGCUAAUACCGGAUAGGAGCUCCUGCUGCAUGGUGGGGGUUGGAAAGUUUCGGCGGUUGGGGAUGGACUCGCGGCUUAUCAGCUUGUUGGUGGGGUAGUGGCUUACCAAGGCUUUGACGGGUAGCCGGCCUGAGAGGGUGACCGGCCACAUUGGGACUGAGAUACGGCCCAGACUCCUACGGGAGGCAGCAGUGGGGAAUAUUGCACAAUGGGCGGAAGCCUGAUGCAGCAACGCCGCGUGCGGGGUGACGGCCUUCGGGUUGUAAACCGCUUUCGCCUGUGACGAAGCGUGAGUGACGGUAAUGGGUAAAGAAGCACCGGCUAACUACGUG
rnacentral:rRNA from 1 species